GCUGGCGGCGUGACUAACACAUGCAAGUCAAACGAGAAAGUGGAGCAAUCCAUGAGUAAAGUGGCGACCGGGUGAGUAACACGUGACUAACCUACCUCCGAGUGGGGAAUAACUCCGGGAAACCGGGGCUAAUACCGCAUAACAUCGCAAGAUCAAAGCAGCAAUGCGCUUGGAGAGGGGGUCGCGGCUGAUUAGCUAGUUGGCGGGGUAGCGGCCCACCAAGGCGAAGAUCGGUAUCCGGCCUGAGAGGGCGCACGGACACACUGGAACUGAAACACGGUCCAGACUCCUACGGGAGGCAGCAGUGGGGAAUUUUGCGCAAUGGGGGAAACCCUGACGCAGCAACGCCGCGUGGAGGAUGAAGCCCUUUGGGGCGUAAACUCCUUUCGACUCGGACGAUAAUGACGGUACGAGUGGAAGAAGCACCGGCUAACUCUGUGCCAGCAGCCGCGGUAAUACAGAGGGUGCGAGCGUUGUUCGGAAUUAUUGGGCGUAAAGGGCGCGUANGCGGUGCGGUAAGUCACCUGUGAAAUCUCCUGGCUUAACUGGGAGUCUGCAGGCGAAACUACCGUGCUGGAGUGUGGGAGAGGUGCGUGGAAUUCCCGGUGUAGCGGUGAAAUGCG
rnacentral:rRNA from 1 species